GACAAAGAUAUUUGGGCAAAAGAUAUGGUCUUGUACAUUAGAAUUUGUACAAACUACCUCUUGAAAUAAUUGCCCAUUCCCAGAUCCACUGGUUUCCAAGAUCCUUUGCAGCCCUAGAGAUUACAGGCUAUUAUUGGUUACUAGCUGCUGCAUCUGUACCUUCACAGGUCUAUUCCUUGUGUUUCUACAAUUUACUACUAUAACUUCUUCAUUUAAUCUUUUUCACAAGAGGAAAGUACUCAUCAGUAAUAUGAGUGUUUUUAAACAUUUCAAACACUGAUGCAAAAUGUAACAAAAUAUCCAGUUUGGCUAUUAGUACAGGCUCAGUGUUCCUGUUGACCCCUUUCAGUCUUUUUUUCUACCCCUCCCCAGUCCUCUGAGACUCGGCUGACCAGAGACCCUCUCUCCAGCAAGGACCCACAGCUGACACUGAAGGCUAGUACUCAGGUACAUAGUGACCUGUUCCGCCCUGUUUCUUUUGUGAACUCUUCACCCAGCCAAUAUCCUGUUCUGAAGAACAUCUGCAUUCCACCUGAGAUCACCUGUGCUCCCCAGAAACAAAGAAGACCCUACAUCAUCCCCCUUACCAUAUCCUGCUUCUUUGUGUAUAUAACCCUCAUGUGGAAAAAUUAAAAUUUGACAGCUUCACCAGA